GGGAGCGCGCACGUAGACUGUCUGGAGUGUGUCUGAAAUUAACAAAAUAGGACACGGAGUUUUUAAAAAAAAAAUUCCCCCCUCACCCCUCGUCUUGCACGACUCUUUCCACUGAGGACACCUGGGCGACUGUGGGAUUUUAUUGAACCGCCACCGGAGCCGUCGUCAUUGGAUAAUUUUUUUGGUGGUGGUGGGGGGGUAAAAGCGAUGUGAAAGUUUUGGUGCGUCAGCAAAUUUCGCUGUGUGCGCAGACAGGAGUGUCUGCGUGCUGCUUUCAGGGUUCACGGAGAGAGCAGCAGCCCAGGAGCAAGGCAGCUGAGGAAGUGCAGAGGGCUGGUGGCGGGCUUGGAGGAAGAUGUCACGCUCGUGAUGGCCCUUUUUUUUGUGGGGGGUGAGGGGGUUGAUGAUGUUGCCACUGUUGCUGCAGCAGCACCAGCUACCACUUUGUGCCUCUCUCAGCCAUGAUGCUGAAUCACCAGGUGAGUGCCACCAAGGGGAGGCUGAGGUGAGUUGAGUUUGAGCCUGUGUAUCCUUGACCCCCAACUCCUUGUGUGUCAACAAACUACACAGUUGCCCACAAGUGGCGUGACUAGGUUUGAUACAUUUUCAUUUGUUUCAAAAAAAUAAUAAAAAUGGAAACAUAACCAACUUGUGAGACAGUCUAACCAUGAAUGUCUGUUGGUACCUUUUCCGUCUCUGUGAAAAUACUUUUAUUUUACUGAAAGUAAAUAAAAUGCUCAUUUUGAAAACA